UACGUAGGGUGCGAGCGUUAAUCGGAAUUACUGGGCGUAAAGCGUGCGCAGGCGGCCUGAUAAGUCAGAUGUGAAAUCCCCGAGCUCAACUUGGGAACUGCGUUUGAAACUAUCAAGCUAGAAUAUGUCAGAGGGGGGUAGAAUUCCACGUGUAGCAGUGAAAUGCGUAGAGAUGUGGAGGAAUACCAAUGGCGAAGGCAGCCCCCUGGGAUAAUAUUGACGCUCAUGCACGAAAGCGUGGGGAGCAAACAGG
rnacentral:ncRNA from 4 species